rnacentral:rRNA from 1 species
CCGAAACCAGAUGAUCUAUCCAUGGCCAGGUUGAAGGUUGGGUAACACCAACUGGAGGACCGAACCCACUAACGUUGAAAAGUUAGGGGAUGAGCUGUGGAUAGGGGUGAAAGGCCAAUCAAACUUGCUGAUAGCUGGUUCUCCGCGAAAUCUAUUUAGGUAGAGCGUCACGAUUAGACUCUGGGGGGUAGAGCACUGAAUGGGCUAGGGGUCCUCACCGGAUUACCAAACCUUCUCAAACUCCGAAUACCCAGAAGUUAUGCGUGGCAGACACACGGCGGGUGCUAACGUCCGUCGUGAAAAGGGAAACAACCCAGACCGCCAAUUAAGGCCCCUAAGUAAUAGCUAAGUGCGAAACGAUGUGGAGGUGCUGAGACAAUCAGGAGGUUGGCUUAGAAGCAGCCACCCUUUAAAGAAAGCGUAAUAGCUCACUAGUCGAGUCGGCCUGCGCGGAAGAUGUAACGGGGCUAAGCAGAUAACCGAAGCUGCGGAUGUACACGUAAGUGUAUGUGGUAGGGGAGCGUUCUGUAAGCCUGCGAAGGUGUGUUGUAAAGCAUGCUGGAGGUAUCAGAAGUGCGAAUGCUGACAUAAGUAACGAUAAAGCGGGUGAAAAGCCCGCUCGCCGGAAGACCAAGGGUUCCUGUCCAACGUUAAUCGGGGCAGGGUGAGUCGACCCCUAAGGCGAGGCUGAAAAGCGUAGUCGAUGGAAAACAGGUUAAUAUUCCUGUACUUCUGGUUAUUGCGAUGGAGGGACGGAGAAGGCUAGGCCAGCUUGGCGUUGGUUGUCCAAGUUUAAGGUGUUAGG